CAGCCAUAUCAUGUUGAAAAACUGGUUCUCAUAUGAUCACCAAAGUUAAGCAACAUUGAGCCUGGUCAGUACCUAGAUAGGUGACUGCUUGGGAAUAGCAGGUGAUGUAAG